GUUCACGCCAUUCUCCUGCCUCAGCCUCCCGAGUAGCUGGGACUACAGGCACCUGCCACCACGCCUGGCUAAUUUUUUUGUAUUUUUAGUAGAGACAGGGUUUCACCAUGUUAGCCAGGAUGGUCUCGAUCUCCUGACCUCGUGAUCCACCCGCCUCAGCCUCCCAAAGUGCUGGGAUUACAGGCGGAGCCACCACGCCAGGCCGGAUAUCUGAAACAUUCUUAAACAUCAGUAAGGAACAGAUAAACCACGUGCCAAAAAAAUGCACAAAAACUAUGGACAGGUUAUCAUACAUACAAACCCUAAUGGCCAUAUGGAAAGAUGGCGAACCUCAUUAAUAAUCAGGGAAAAGUAAUAAGGUACAUUUCAGACACUAAAAAGUAAUAAGGUACAUUACAUACACAUUUGGCAACAGCAAAAAUGUUAACAUCUGACAAAAUCCAUUUUGUCUGGAAUGUGGAAGAGUUGGCAUGCAUAUUGCCACUGGUGAGUUUGUACUUUAUUACUUAUACUUUGAAAAAUUAUUUGACAAUGUCCACUUGAAAAUGUCUGUUGAAGGGAUGCAUGUUCUUUUAUAGAGCAAUAACACUGCUAGGUUCAUAUCCUAGAGAAAAUCCCAGACGUGUAAACAAGAUUUGUGUGAGAAUGUUUGCAGCAGCAGUGUUUAUAAAGAUGAAUAAACGGGUAACAUCCUAAAUGUCCUACAACAGGACAGUGAAUAUGGUCAGCUGUAAACUCUUACAAGGCACAGAGCCCUUGCCUAAACACUGUGCUAAGAGAGUAAACUCUAGCCUGCUCUCACCACACCAGGCCACCUUCUAAAGGCAGCCCCAGCUCCCAAGCUAAGUCUUUGCUAAAGAAAAUGCAAUGGUCUGGCGCAGUGGCUUGGCUCCCUCCUGUAAUCCCAGCACUUUGGGAGGCCAAGGUGGGUGGAUCAUGAGGUCAGGAGACCGAGACCAUCCUGGCUAACAUGGUGAAACCCCGUCUCUACUAAAAAUACAAAAAAUUAGCCAGGUGUGGUGGCACACACUUGUAAUCCCAGCUACUCGGGAGGCUGAGGCAGGAGAAUAGCUUGAACCCCGGAGGUGGAGGUUACAGUGAGCCGAGAUCGCACCACUGCACUCCAGCCUGGGUGACAGAGCAAAACUCCAUCCCAUAAAAAGAAAAUGCAAUAAUGCCAAACUGCAAAAUGUAUAUUGUUCAACCCAUCUUGCCAAACCAUUUUCAGCAAUUCUUCACCUAAUUCCCCUUCUAUAAUUUUCCAUUUUCACAUACCCCCCUUAGUCCUUUUUUUUGUUCCCCUUUUGCACUUCCCAACAAUCCUUUUUUAUUCUUUAUCUGUUUUCCCCUUAAAAACCUCAGUCAUCUUCCUCUUAGUUGGAGUUGAGCUAGGAUUUAUACUGGAGUCUCUCUCCCCUACAGCAGCAGUAUGAAUAAAAUAUCUGUCUUGCUACCUUUAAUAA